UACGUAGGGGGCAAGCGUUGUCCGGAAUCAUUGGGCGUAAAGAGCGCGUAGGCGGUCCGGUAAGUCCGCUCUGAAAGUCCGGGGCUCAACCCCGGGAGGCGGGCGGAUACUGUCGGGCUAGAGUCCGGAAGAGGCGAGUGGAAUUCCUGGUGUAGCGGUGAAAUGCGCAGAUAUCAGGAGGAACACCAGCGGCGAAGGCGGCGCUCUGGGCCGGUACUGACACUGAGGAGCGAAAGCGUGGGUAGCAAACAGG
rnacentral:rRNA from 1 species